rnacentral:rRNA from 1 species
GAUGAACGCUGGCGGCGUGCCUAAUACAUGCAAGUCGAGCGAACGGACGAGAAGCUUGCUUCUCUGAUGUUAGCGGCGGACGGGUGAGUAACACGUGGAUAACCUACCUAUAAGACUGGGAUAACUUCGGGAAACCGGAGCUAAUACCGGAUAAUAUUUUGAACCGCAUGGUUCAAAAGUGAAAGACGGUCUUGCUGUCACUUAUAGCUGGAUCCGAGCUGCAUUAGCUAGUUGGUAAGGUAACGGCUUACCAAGGCAACGAUGCAUAGCCGACCUGAGAGGGUGAUCGGCCACACUGGAACAGAGACACGGUCCAGACUACUACGGGAGGCAGCAGUAGGGAAGCUUGAGCAAUGGGCGAAAGCCUGACGGAGCAACGCCGCGUGAGUGAUGAAGGUCUUCGGAUCGUAAAACUCUGUUAUUAGGGAAGAACAUAUGUGUAAGUAACUGUGCACAUCUUGACGGUACAUAAUCAGAAAGCCACGGCUAACUACGUG